UGCAUACAAACAGUAGGAGCGGACUUGUUCCGUGACUGCGUACCUUUUGUAUAAUGGGUCAGCGACUUAUUUUCAGUGGCGAGCUUAACCGAAUAGGGGAGGCGUAGCGAAAGCGAGUCUUAAUAGGGCGUCUAGUCGCUGGGAAUAGACCCGAAACCGGGCGAUCUAUCCAUGGGCAGGUUGAAGGUUGGGUAACACUAACUGGAGGACCGAACCGA
rnacentral:rRNA from 1 species